rnacentral:lncRNA from 1 species
UCUCAUAGAUUGUCUAUGACAUAAAACGUCAUCUUGUGUGAAAUCUCAAGUUUCUUCAUGUAGAAGACCUCCUUACUAAUACACCAUAUUGUAAUAAUUUGUGAAGUGUGAUUACUUUUUACUACUAUGUAUGUAUUACAUAUGUAUUAUGCACAAAUUUCAGAAACACUCCAAUGAAUAUACAGCCAGAAUUACUGUUUUAUAUCAUAUAAAGCUAAUAUGGGUUAAAUCAUUUACCUUAAUUCAGAUUUUUUCUACAAUUACCAUUAUUUCUCAUUAGCACUUCCCUGAUAUCAAAAACAUAAUGCGGAUUUAGAUUUUUUAUUUAAUCCAGAAGAUGUUGAAAAUGGUUCUAAAUGGAGUUUACAUGUGG